AAUUUUAUAUAUUUAAUCAUGAGCUUAUAACAAUGUUGUUGAUUAUUAUAUCAAGAGAAUAUAUAAGACCAGAAAUAGUUUAUUUGUAAUUAAGUUAGACAAUUUUCAAAUCAUCCAAGAUACGAUCAUUUUUCUAAUAUUGAUAUAUGCAAUGACAGAAAAUCUAAAAUUGUUGACUUAAAUGAUAUUCAAUUUUUGCCAUCUUCUUAUUUUUACAUAUGAAUAUUUUUCAGAUUUUAUUCAGUUGAUGUCAAUCCAAACUUUAAUCAUGAGCCUAUCACAAUAUCGUUGAAGUACAUAAAACAAAGAAUUGAUUUAUUUAUAAUCGAGUUAAGCAAAUUUUAAACCACACAAGUAACAUAGUUAUACAUAAUUCUAUCAGAAUA
rnacentral:sRNA from 1 species